rnacentral:rRNA from 1 species
AUUGAACGCUGGCGGCAGGCUUAACACAUGCAAGUCGAGCGGGGGAAGGUAGCUUGCUACCGGACCUAGCGGCGGACGGGUGAGUAAUGCUUAGGAAUCUGCCUAUUAGUGGGGGACAACAUCUCGAAAGGGAUGCUAAUACCGCAUACGUCCUACGGGAGAAAGCAGGGGAUCUGCGGACCUUGCGCUAAUAGAUGAGCCUAAGUCAGAUUAGCUAGUUGGUGGGGUAAAGGCCUACCAAGGCGACGAUCUGUAGCGGGUCUGAGAGGAUGAUCCGCCACACUGGGACUGAGACACGGCCCAGACUCCUACGGGAGGCAGCAGUGGGGAAUAUUGGACAAUGGGGGGAACCCUGAUCCAGCCAUGCCGCGUGUGUGAAGAAGGCCUUAUGGUUGUAAAGCACCUUAAGCGAGGAGGAGGCUACUUUAGUUAAUACCUAGAGAUAGUGGACGUUACUCGCAGAAUAAGCACCGGCUAACUCUGUGCCAGCAGCCGCAGUAA